rnacentral:rRNA from 1 species
GUGGGGUGACUGCGUACCUUUUGUAUAAUGGGUCAGCGACUUAUAUUCUGUAGCAAGGUUAACCGAAUAGGGGAGCCGGAGGGAAACCGAGUCUUAAUUGGGCGUUAAGUUGCAGGGUAUAGACCCGAAACCCGGUGAUCUAGCCAUGGGCAGGUUGAAGGUUGGGUAACACUAACUGGAGGACCGAACCGACUAAUGUUGAAAAAUUAGCGGAUGACCUGUGGCUGGGGGUGAAAGGCCAAUCAAACCGGGAGAUAGCUGGUUCUCCCCGAAAGCUAUUUAGGUAGCGCCUCGUGAAUUCAUCUCCGGGGGUAGAGCACUGUUUCGGCUAGGGGGCCAUCCCGGCUUACCAACCCGAUGCAAACUGCGAAUACCGGAGAAUGUUAUCACGGGAGACACACGGCGGGUGCUAACGUCCGUCGUGAAGAGGGAAACAACCCAGACCGCCAGCUAAGGUCCCAAAGUCAUGGUUAAGUGGGAAACGAUGUGGGAAGGCCCAGACAGCCAGGAUGUUGGCUUAGAAGCAGCCAUCAUUUAAAGAAAGCGUAAUAGCUCACUGGUCGAGUCGGCCUGCGCGGAAGAUGUAACGGGGCUAAACCAUGCACCGAAGCUGCGGCAGCGAACGUAUCACCCAAGACAACUUUACGGAGUUGACGAUUGACGGAGCGAAGCGACGUCAAAGCGUUCAUUAAAGUCGAGUUGGCUUAGG